rnacentral:rRNA from 1 species
UUCCGGUUGAUCCUGCCGGAGGCCACUGCUAUUGGGAUCCGACUAAGCCAUGCGAGUCGAGAGGGUUCGGCCCUCGGCAGACUGCUCAGUAACACGUGGAUAACCUAACCUUAGGUGGAAGAUAACCUCGGGAAACUGAGAAUAAUAUUCCAUAGAUCUAGGAUGCUGGAAUGCAUCUAGAUUGAAAGUUCCGACGCCUAAGGAUGGGUCUGCGGACUAUCAGGUUGUAGUCAGGGUAAAGACCUGACUAGCCUACGACGGAUAUGGGUUGUGAGAGCAAUAGCCCAGAGACGAUAUCUGAGACACGAUAUCGGGCCCUACGGGGCGCAGCAGGCGCGAAAUCUUCACAAUGUGCGAAAGCACGAUGAGGGGAUCCCAAGUGCUGGCACGUAAGUGUCAGCUGUUUCUUAGUCUAAAAAACUGAGAGAGUAAGGGCUGGGUAAGACGGGUGCCAGCCGCCGCGGUAAUACCUGCAGCUCAAGUGGUGGCCGCUAUUAUUGGGCCUAAAACGUCCGUAGCCUGUUUAGUAAAUGCUUGGGUAAAUUGUGUAGCUUAACUAUACGAAUACCGGGUAGACUGCUAAACUUGGGACCGGGAGAGGCUAGAGGUACUCCUGGGGUAGAGGUGAAAUUCUGUAAUCCUAGGGGGACCACCAGUGGCGAAGGCGUCUAGCUAGAACGGGUCUGACGGUGAGGGACGAAGCCCUGGGGCGCAAACCGGAUUAGAUACCCGGGUAGUCCAGGGUGUAAACGCUGCUUGCUUGAUGUUAGUUGGGCUCCGAGCCCAACUAGUGUCGGAGAGAAGUUGUUAAGCAAGCUGCCUGGGAAGUACGGUCGCAAGACUGAAACUUAAAGGAAUUGGCGGGGGAGCACAGCAACGGGUGGAGCGUGCGGUUUAAUUGGAUUCAACGCCGGA